rnacentral:lncRNA from 1 species
CUCGCGCCGCCGCGCCGCUCACGUGCGAACCUGUAACACCCCAAAACCACGUGGGGUGAGAACCAACUCCAUGGUUCCCAGUGGGUACGGCCACCCAAGGAAAAAGCUCGACCAAUAGGUCCAAGGGAGGCAACUGCAAGUUAGUUCACUAAACAGAUAGAUAUAUAUAUCUUUAUUAUGCAACAAAUAAAACCAUGCCUUGCCUCACGAAUGCAAUAAUGCCAUGCUAUAUGCGAAUCAUUCAACUAUACAAGUAGAAUAAAGGAUUUCACUUUCUAUCAUGCUAUUCAUAGCUUUUCCAUAAUAUAUACAUCUUGGUUAUUUGCUCCUAAGGUUUUUCUCUACCCUAGCCAAGCUAACCACCCGACUCGAUCUCGAGUCAAUCAACUGCUGAAUACCGCACCAAUAAUAGGCUCGAGGUGAUGGACGUCUUGCAUACACCUCAGCCCUAAAUCCUCUCAACUGGGAUACCAAACCCGUAACACAUAAUGCUGUACAUUCACUUGGCUUUGACCCAAUCUUACCGGUUAACCAUGUUAACCCCAAUAACUCACAACCCAAAAUUCCUUAAUAGCGGGGGACUCGAACCUCCCUAGGGACCGUUUUCUGGGGGGGCUUUACCACGCCCAGUGGUGACCAACUCCGGAGCGCACCGCCCGAGGGGGAGCUACCUCCCUCAAGCCAAGACUUAUCGUGAGUAUCGAUCCAAUCCUCAACUUGAGGAUUCAUAGCCACUUGUCACAAUGCCAUUGUCAUAAUAGGUUUUCUACCUAUUUAAUCAUGCUAUUCUCUAUGUCAUCUUGGUCCAAUGCCACUCUUGGUUAAACUAUGUUUAACAACUAUGUUCUCUAUGCCAAUCAAUGUCUCUAUUGUCAAUGUCACCUUUGUUUACUAUGUCCAAGUCCAACUCUCACAUUCACACAAUAAUAGGGUCCUAACAUACAUGUCCAUUAUGGUUCUACCUUUCUCUAUGUUCAACUACGUUAGAAACAUGUCAUUGAAAGCAACCAAGAUUCACAUGUACUUAGUCCUAUUAUGUAUGAAUGAUACAAAUAUAUAUGCUCAAAUGCCACAAGUGUUUGCUAGGUUCAUGACACUAGGUUCACACUAUACUUGUUCAACCUAUGUUCUUUGACACUAGGUUCAUAUCCUCCAUGUUCAACCUAUGUCCAUGACUCUAGGUUUAAUGCCACUCGAUCUAAUGUAUAUAGAUUGUCCAUAUGCACAUUUUCAUUUCUUAACAUUAGUAUCUCUACAACAUGAUCAUCAAGUAUAUCUUAGUAUUAGCCACAUGCUUGCAUUUAUUAUUUCUACAUCAUGCUUAUCAUACCAUUACUUAGCAUUAUCCACAUGCAUGCUUAUCAUGUAAACUUUAGCAUUACUCAAUGCAUUCAUCUAGCACUAUUUACACUAAGUCAUCAUGCAUUCCUCUUAUCAUGUUCUUAUAAUGUUAACAUUCAUAUGCCCUUUAUCUUAUGCAUUCAAAGCAUUAGUCACAUGCAUUUAUCUAGCAUUUCUAUAAUAUGUUAACAUGCAUUCUUUUCACAUUCUUACAUUACGUCAAAUGCAUUCCUCUAGCAUUUCACAUUAUAUGUCAACAUGCAUCAAUAUGAAAUCUCAUUUCUUAGACAUAAAGGGCGACCUAGUCGCUUCGGUAAACACAACCCACCUCAUUUCGCAUUCCGAUUGCUUGUCGACACUUGCAAUCGGCCUCCCGCGGCACCCGGCACCCGGUUUGGCCCGAUCUCUCGCGCGACCACCCGAACGGCCUCCAAUUCACGAUCCGAAAAUUAAAGGUCUUCGGUUAUGUGCCACGAUGCUUCAAAUCCGUUUUCAUGAGUUUACGAUAUCGCUUCGAACCUCCAGGCGGAAACGAAGCCUAAACGUCCGUUUCUUUAAUAACUUCGCAACGGCUCAACGAAUCGCCGAACCGUCUUCGCCAAUGCGUUCGUUUAU